GACGAACGCUGGCGGCGCGCCUAACACAUGCAAGUCGAGCGGAGCAAAGACUUCGGUCUUUACUCAGCGGCGGACGGGUGAGUAACGCGUGAGUAACCUGCCCUUCAGAGGGGGAUAGCGUCUGGAAACGGACGGUAAUACCGCAUAACGUAUAUUGGAGACAUCUUCGAUAUACCAAAGGAUUUAUUCACUGAAGGAUGGACUCGCGUCCGAUUAGGUAGUUGGUGAGGUAACGGCCCACCAAGCCGACGAUCGGUAGCCGGACUGAGAGGUUGAUCGGCCACAUUGGGACUGAGACACGGCCCAGACUCCUACGGGUGGCAG
rnacentral:rRNA from 1 species